rnacentral:rRNA from 1 species
GAUGAAAGCUGGCGGCGUGCCUAAUACAUGCAAGUCGAGCGGACCAAAGAGAGCUUGCUCUCUGAGGUUAGCGGCGGACGGGUGAGUAACACGUGGGUAACCUGCCUGUAAGACGGGGAUAACUUCGGGAAACCGAAGCUAAUACCGGAUGAUAAAGAGAAACGCCUGCUUCUUUUUUGAAAGUCGGCCCUGUGCUGACGCUUACAGUUGGGUCAGCGGCGCAUUAGCUAGUUGGUGAGGUAACGGCUCACCAAGGCGACGAUGCGUAGCCGACCUGAGAGGGUGAUCGGCCACACUGGGACUGAGACACGGCCCAGACUCCUACGGGAGGCAGCAGUAGGGAAUCUUUGGCAAUGGACGAAAGUCUGACCGAGCAACGCCGCGUGAGCGAUGAAGGCCUUCGGGUCGUAAAGCUCUGUUGUCAGAGAAGAACAAGUACCGGAGUAACUGCCGGUACCUUGACGGUACCUGACCAGAAAGCCACGGCUAACUACGUGCCAGCCGCCGCCGUAA